rnacentral:rRNA from 1 species
GAUGAACGCUAGCUACAGGCUUAACACAUGCAAGUCGAGGGGCAGCAUGAAAGGAACUUCGGUUCUUUUUGAUGGCGACCGGCGCACGGGUGCGUAACGCGUAUCGAACCUGCCUCAUACUCGGGGAUAGCCUUGCGAAAGUAAGAUUAAUACCCGGCGGUCUCGGAUGGCCGCAUGACUAUCCGAGUGAAGAUUUAUCGGUAUGAGAUGGCGAUGCGUCCCAUUAGCUUGUUGGUGGGGUAACGGCUCACCAAGGCAUCGAUGGGUAGGGGUUCUGAGAGGGAGGUCCCCCACAUUGGAACUGAGACACGGUCCAAACUCCUACGGGAGGCAGCAGUGAGGAAUAUUGGUCAAUGGACGAAAGUCUGAACCAGCCAAGUAGCGUGCAGGAUGACGGCCCUCUGGGUUGUAAACUGCUUUUAGUUGGGAAUAAAAAGAGGGACGUGUCCCUUAUUGUAUGUACCAUCAGAAAAAGGACCGGCUAAUUCCGUGCCAGCAGCCGCGGUAAUACGGAAGGUCCAGGCGUUAUCCGGAUUUAUUGGGUUUAAAGGGAGCGCAGGCGGCGGCGUAAGUCAGUUGUGAAAUCGUGCGGCUUAACCGUGCAAUUGCAGUUGAUACUGCGUCGCUUGAGUGCACACAGGGAUGUUGGAAUUCAUGGUGUAGCGGUGAAAUGCUUAGAUAUCAUGAAGAACUCCGAUCGCGAAGGCAUAUGUCCGGAGUGCAACUGACGCUGAGGCUCGAAAGUGUGGGUAUCAAACCAGG